CUGGGAGUUUAAAACAACUUAGAUAAGUGUUCCUUUUCUUUCCAUACCCAGAAUGAGGGCUUUAGAUUUCAUAUUAGAUUUUACAUACGUUACAUUAGUUCAAGAACACGAUCAUUAUACAUAACGAGGUCCAAUACCAUGCUUCUUUCUCCGUAUCAAAUGUCUGAAAAGCAGCCGUUUGAGAGAUGAAGCACAUUGGACAGAUUCCUUUCCUCUUUACAACAGUCUGACCUGUAAACAUUUAACAGGUUGACAUUUCUCAGUAAAUUAAAUAACCAUCUUGUACAGUUAACAUUUAGAUUCCUCUGUCACUUUUAGGUUAUUUCUUGUCUUUACAUUGAUCCCCUAUUCAUUAUCAAUUGAUAAAUCUCUUGCAAAACAAGCAUUAAAACAACCAAAAAAAAACAUUUACAUUAGUGCAUUGUACCAUGACCUCCACAUGCAAAUCAAUCAUUCUAAAGUGCAGUAAGGACAAGACAAUUCAUGACCAAUAAUGAUUAGGAAGUAAUAUAACUUGUCCUCAACGACUGAAAAACAGGUCUUAUGAAGCGUAUUGUACAGUUAAAACUUCCACUUACAACUUAAGAAGAAAAUGUGUUUCACAGACCUUUCAUUAUCCACUGAUGAUCCCUUUCAAAAAGCUUUAUCGUUAUUUAAUAAAAAAAUUAAAAAUUAAAUACACAAAAAUGUCCCUUUAAAAACCAGAGCAUCGUACUCAUAUCAUGCACUCCACACGCAAAUCUAUAAUUAUAAAGUGCUGUAAGGACCCUGCGAUGCUUUUCAUACCGAGGUUCCUUCAAGUGGACCCACCAUAUAACUAGGUACAUCUACGAUCAGAGUCUACAAGUGGACCCACCAUAUAACUAGGUACAUCUACAAUCAGAGUCUACAAGUGGACCCACCAUAUAGCUAGGUACAUCUACGAUCAGAGUCUACAAGUGG
rnacentral:lncRNA from 1 species